CACCGUACCUUAGGUGUCCGCAUCUACCGUGAGAGAUUAAACACCAGCGACACCGAGAUACGGAACGCGCGUGAAUCUUUCUUUCUCUCUUUUCUUUUCCCAACUUCUUUUUAACUGUAAUGUUUGUCGCCGGAGAUCGAUAGAUCUUCGUUCAACGAAGAAAUAUCGAGUUCGCGGAGUUUGUCGCGUUUCCUAGUUCCUUCGGGGUGGUUGUUUUUCUCGUGUUUGUAUGUACGUGUUGCAAAAAGUUCGAUGCGAAAUGGAGAAUGAUGUCACUCGACAUUUUUCACCGUCCAACGAAAUGCGAAAUUUAUCGGUAGUAAAGGUGCGUUCUGAACUCGCUUUUACAAUCCAAAAGUAAAUAACGACAAAAUGAAUCGAACGGUAGGAAUGUGGAAGAUGUUAUCAUUAUUAUCGAUAGGUGUUAUUAGUACGUCUUUAUUACAUUGCAGUAGUUAUAUAAAGAACGUAAUCUUCGUGCACCUUGGAACAUGUACAUAUUUAUAUUAUCUAUAUGCUUUAAAUCUUAUUUUAUUAUCGCUUUAUUACUCUUACUUACUUUAUGUAUUCUAUAAUUAUCAUAAUAUUAAUACUAAAUUAGUAUGUAUAACAAUCAUUGGUCUAUAAUCAUGAAAUCAAAGCAGGAAACUGCGGUCGACUACAUAAUAUUCCUGUUUCUCGUGACCAAAGAAAAUUCCAGUCAUAUAGAAAAUUAAUAAAAGUAUAUCAACGUAGAUGCAUUAUUAGUCACGUAAACAUGAAAAUACAUACGAAUAACGAACAAGUACUUGCGAAAGUAGCUUAUAAAAUUUAGGAUAGUGUACAAACGACGAAUAAUUAAACUUGCUUAAUCGAAAUCUUUGAUACAAUCGUAUCGGAAAAUAAAUACAAGAUUCUACAACCACUCUGAACAAAAGUAACACAGUUCUAAUAAAUUUAUCGCGUUCCGCGGUUCUACCAGAGAAAACUAGGAAAGCAGUACUGACGGUGGAACGUACCGAACGAAAUUUCCACUCGCGACUGCUCGCAGUGUAAUAACGCGACGUUCUAUAUCUAAAAAGCAUAUAACCGGCUGAAAGUUGCGUUAAAAUUUCCAAAUAAGGUUUGUUGUUAAACGGUUUCAACGAGUAACAGGUGCACAACCUACAUUCGCGGUAUUUACGCUGCGCUGGCCUCCAGAAAUCUCUGUUGGAAAAUGACACAUAGCGGAUUAUGCGUGAUGAUAUUUACGCUCUCGUAACUUUGUAACAUCAAUCUGGUCGAAUAAAAAAGAAUUUCACGCUUCUCGUUCAACGAUUUUAAGGGCGAGAUCGAGUCGAGAUUGGUAGAAAAUACUAAACCCGGUCCUACGAAAACUCUCGAUUAUCUGGUGAUAUCUGACGUUCGCGAUGACACACAUACUUACGUCUCCGGAUGCUUGUGAUUUAAAUGGAUCAAUGAGAUGCGCUUGGCGAAACGGCAGGAGCCAAGCUUUUCUCAUUUCUGCACCAUGGACGUUGGCAUUGCGACCAAGACGACGCGAGGGUGCAUUUAGGAUUGGCACAUCGCCAACAGGUCCUUCGGGAGAUUUGCACUAUACGCUAUAUCUAUACGUAUGUAUCUGUACACGUAAUAUCGUCAUCGCCAUAUACGUAAAUCCGAAAACGUUAAGCCGUUUGUCGAGAGACCAGGUAUGUACGUUUCGUUUGAUUUCCAUCGAACGUAUGAUAAAAAGGAAAAGGAACGAAAUAGUCGGUAGAACAUCCAGUCGCGCAUUAAACCGCACAGCGUGUGGAAAUAGCGAUUAGCGAUAAAAGUGGGAAAUAACGAGGCAAGGAAAAUCGUCAUUAAGCUCGACGGAGAUAAGAUAGGAAUGUUAAUUUCGGCUAUAGUGAAACAGGGGAUUAGCUGAAAAUAUGAGAAUGGACGAUGGUAGUCGUGGAAAUAAAAAUGUUUACUUUCAGAAAAAAAAACAUAUACAUAUAUAUCUGUACAGGUGUAAUCGAUCAAGCAAACGUGAAAGAGAGAAGUAGGUCACGAACGUACGCUCGUCAAGUUACGCUUCUUCCGUGAAUCUUCAACUUCUUUUUAGUAGCAACUUUUCGACUACGGUUGAGAGCGAGAUUUAUUAAUGGACAUAUCCAACGAUGAUUAAUGUCUGUUUGAAAGUUACGACAUUAAGGUAUCGUUGUACGUAUGUACACGUAUGUAUCGAUGAGUAAAUAAAACAAACUAAUUUACAAGGAAGGAA